UUGCUACAUUAACUAACUGGCUUUUUCUGUCAAUUUUGUCUCAAAUGUUUUAUUUUUCAGUUACUCAAAAAUAUUUUUCAACACUCCAAAAUGCCAUUAUUAAGAAAUAAUGGAAUGGAAUGGAGUGGAAUGGAAUGAAAUGGAAUGGAAUGGAAUGGAAUGGAAUGGAAUGGAAUGGAAUGGAAUGGAAUACUUUAGUUGAUAAAAAAUCCUUAAAACAGACUGUCUGAUAUGCAAAGUCACAAAGCAGAAGAGUUGACUGCUGCUCUGAAAGAGCUGGAUAUGUGGGAAAUGGAGGGCAGGAAUUGGCUGUAUGUCUUGUUCUCAGUGCUUCAGUUUGGAAACUCUGUCCAGUGUGCACAACUCCAACUGUGCUCGCCUAAUAUAGUGUGAAUACUAUCUCCACGGUGCAUGCUCAUACAGACAGAAAAAUAAGACUCAUGAUAUGCUACAAGGUAUUUGGUAUGGAGUGAGCUUUCAAAUGUAAAAAUAAAUAAAUAAACGCAGAAAAUGAAAGAAUUUGG
rnacentral:lncRNA from 1 species